rnacentral:rRNA from 1 species
GACGAACGCUGGCGGCGUGCUUAACACAUGCAAGUCGAACGGAAAGGCCCUGCUUUUGUGGGGUGCUCGAGUGGCGAAAGGGUGAGUAACACGUGAGUAACCUGCCCUUGACUUUGGGAUAACUUCAGGAAACUGGGGCUAAUACCGGAUAGGAGCUCCUGCUGCAUGGUGGGGGUUGGAAAGUUUCGGCGGUUGGGGAUGGACUCGCGGCUUAUCAGCUUGUUAGUGGGGUAGUGGCUUACCAAGGCUUUGACGGGUAGCCGGCCUGAGAGGGUGACCGGCCACAUUGGGACUGAGAUACGGCCCAGACUCCUACGGGAGGCAGCAGUGGGGAAUAUUGCACAAUGGGCGGAAGCCUGAUGCAGCAACGCCGCGUGCGGGAUGACGGCCUUCGGGUUGUAAACCGCUUUCGCCUGUGACGAAGCGUGAGUGACGGUAAUGGGUAAAGAAGCACCGGCUAACUACGUG